UACGUAGGUGGCAAGCGUUGUCCGGAAUUAUUGGGCGUAAAGCGCGCGCAGGCGGCUUCUUAAGUCUGAUGUGAAAGCCCGCAGCUCAACUGCGGAGGGUCAUUGGAAACUGGGAAGCUUGAGUGCAGAAGAGGAGAGUGGAAUUCCACGUGUAGCGGUGAAAUGCGUAGAGAUGUGGAGGAACACCAGUGGCGAAGGCGGCUCUCUGGUCUGUAACUGACGCUGAGGCGCGAAAGCGUGGGGAGCAAACAGGAUUAGAAACCCCCGUAGUCC
rnacentral:rRNA from 1 species